rnacentral:rRNA from 1 species
CAGUAGCGUAUAUUAAAGUUGUUGCAGUUAAAAUGCUCGUAGUUGAAGUUCGGAUGCAGCAGAGCUUGGAAACGCUGUUAUGGUGCUUCCGUUGCUUUUGCUUGUCCACAGUGCGUUGCAAGUACGUAUGUGCUUGUGCGUGCAUUUUACUUUGAGAAACAUAGGGUGUUCCACGCAUGUUACGGCAUGAAUAUUCCAGCAUGGGAUAAUCUGGUACGACUUUCAAUCUGCCAUUUUGGUUCGUAGGUUGGAAGUAAUGAUUAAUAGGGACUGUCGGGGGCAUUGGUAUUUGACUGUCAGAGGUGAAAUUCUUAGAUUCGUUGAGGACCAACCACUGCGAAAGCAUUUGUCAAGGAUGUCUCCAUUAA